UACGGGGGGGGCAAGCGUUGUUCGGAAUUACUGGGCGUAAAGGGCUCGUAGGCGGCCAACUAAGUCAGACGUGAAAUCCCUCGGCUUAACCGGGAACUGCGUCUGAUACUGGAUGGCUUGAGUUUGGGAGAGGGAUGCGGAAUUCCAGGUGUAGCGGUGAAAUGCGUAGAUAUCGGAAGGAACACCUGUGGCGAAAGCGGCUCACUGGACCAGUAACUGACGCUGGAGGCGCGAAAGCUAGGGGAGCAAACAGG
rnacentral:rRNA from 1 species